UACGUAGGGUGCAAGCGUUGUCCGGAAUUAUUGGGCGUAAAGAGCUCGUAGGCGGCCAACUAAGUCGGACGUGAAAUCCCCAGGCUCAACCUGGGAACUGCGUCCGAUACUGGAUGGCUUGAAUCCGGGAGAGGGAUGCAGAAUUCCAGGUGUAGCGGUGAAAUGCGUAGAUAUCUGGAGGAAUACCGGUGGCGAAGGCGGCAUCCUGGACCGGCAUUGACGCUGAGGAGCGAAAGCCAGGGGAGCAAACGGG
rnacentral:rRNA from 1 species